UACAUGGUCUAGUGGCUAUGAUGCCUGGCUCUCACUCAGGAAGGCCCAGGUUCGAUUCCCAGCAUGGUAA